rnacentral:rRNA from 1 species
UGGUGGAGUGAUUUGUCUGGUUAAUUCCGUUAACGAACGAGACCUCGACCUGCUAAAUAGUUUGGCGAACCCUUCUGGGUUCGUACAACACUUCUUAGAGGGACUAUCGGUGUGUAGCCGAUGGAAGUUCGAGGCAAUAACA